rnacentral:lncRNA from 1 species
AAAAUUCACGAUCGACAACUAAGACAUCAGGCACUUCUUCAGGAAAUGCUUCAGGUGGCUCGAUCACGGGUACAUCAACAACAACAAACGAAACAUCUGAAACGGGACAAUCAGGAGGAGAUAACACUCCGGGCAAGACAGUUAUAACCAUAAGCGACUCUUCUGGUUCUCAAAGUGUUGUGGUGUCCGGAC